rnacentral:rRNA from 1 species
UACGUAGGUGGCGAGCGUUGUCCGGAUUUACUGGGCGUAAAGGGAGCGUAGGCGGACUUUUAAGUGAGAUGUGAAAUACUCGGGCUCAACUUGAGUGCUGCAUUUCAAACUGGAAGUCUAGAGUGCAGGAGAGGAGAAUGGAAUUCCUAGUGUAGCGGUGAAAUGCGUAGAGAUUAGGAAGAACACCAGUGGCGAAAGCGGCCCUCUGGUCUGUAACUGACGCUGAGGUUCGAAAGCGUGGGUAGCAAACAGG